UCAUUCAGCAAAUAUUUACUGAACACCUCUGCGUAACAGAGUCAGUGCUAGGUUUGGGGGUCGCAACAGCGGGCAAAAGAGACAGUCUGCCCUGGUGCCUCUUACCGUCCACAGGGGACAGAAAAUGAGCGAGUGCCGCAUAGGAAUGCCACGUGGCCAGAAGGACGGAGAGGGAACCCGGAAGGCUUGACGUUGUAGACGGGGUGGCCAAGGAGGGCCUCGCUGAAGAGAGGGCGUCGGCGUAAAGGCCUGAAGGAUUUGAGGGAGUGAGACACACAGAUAUCCGGUGAAGUGAUCGAAGCAGGGCCAACAGCCAGUGCAAAGGCCCUGAAGGCCUGGCUGCUCAAGGAAUGACUAGGAGACAGGAUCCUUCUGGCGGCCGCUGGGGCAGAGGCGGGGAGCACAGGACGGAGGCUACUGCAACCGUCCAGGCAAGAGGCCCAAGGCAGGGAGCAGUGGAAACGUGGCCCCCAGCCCUUGUCCUUGCCUGCGAAGAACAGAGGCCUGGAAUUCAGGCCAGAAGGUGCAGACAUGACCAACAUGUGUGGACCUGAUGCUUGGGGUCCAAGAGAAGCAGCCAGAGUAGCAAGUCCUCUUCCCGCCUCCCAGGCAGAGCCGGUGGCCGGCAGCAGCGCGCUGUGGGCAGGGCUCCUCUCCCAGGGGAGCCCCGCUGCGGGCACCCCUGCUGGGACCCAGUUUGUCAAUCCAAAUCGCGCUUGCAAUUCCGUGGGAGCUUCGGUCCAGUGAUUUCACUUCUAGGCCUUUAUCUUUAAAGGGCUUUCCGGCCAUGUGUGACCUUGGGCUGCGCAACCUUGGGCGACUGACCCCAGUUUUCCUCAUCUGGAAGUGGGAACAUCGCGACACCUACCCCUCCAGGGCCGUCUGAGGAGCGCGUAAAGCCAGGCACGUUGGGGACACGCGUGACAGAGACUCCCAUGAAGGGGAAGCAGUGUCCUGAUGUGAUGGGUCAGCGCAGUUUUUACAAAUGGAGAUGAGACCCUCUUCCUGGGUGCCUCCUGGUUUUCCCCAGCGACCCCCCUCCCGUGCCCAAGUUUUGACCGGCAGACCCAGGAGGUUGGUGGGAGAGGGGUGUCAGUGUCAGUCCCAGCACAGACUCAACCUUGCCUGUUACAGGAGAUGGUGGGGGAGGGGAGGGGAGACCAGCAGCCCAGCACCUCCACCCCAGGCCCUGGCCCUCUGGCUCAGGCAAGCAGGAGAGACCAGUGGAAGGUGGAGGGUUUAUCUCACACACCCCUCCAGGGAGGGGCCUUUAUGCCCAGAUCCAGUUUCUGGCAGGACUGGUUGGUCCAGGUGGCCCGAUAGAUGGCCAAGAUAAGGUCCGUGCAGGUUGGCUGGGCUGAGCGGAAGACCCACGCUGGGCUAAGACGGGGGAUGGCCCAGGCCCGGCCUGACUCAAGGGUGGCGGGGGGUCUGGGCCUGUCUUGUCCCAGCUGCUGGCGCUUUUGGGGGCCACACGGGUGCCCUCUCCGGACCCCCUUCCCUGCCUGCAGUGAGAAGCGGCACAGAAAGAGGUGAUCCUGGGCAGGGGUGGUACAGGCCCAAGGUGGCCCAGGCUGGACGUGCUGCAGGUAAGGUUCGUACGGGCACAUGACGAGGUUCCAGGGCCACGAGCCAGGCAGACUGAGGUUGCCCGGGCGUGGGGUUGUCGGGACCCCACGUUUCAGGUGAGCCCAGGCUUGUUGUGUGUCAGACCUUCUGGAAGCCCCAGGGCUGGCUGGGCGAGCUCGUCCUCUUGGGCCGAUGGCGUCCUGCUGUCUGUAAAGUCACCACGCCCCAAAGAGUCCCUUCGUUAGACCCUUCCACCUGAGAGGUUUGAGUGUCACCCCUCUCCUGCCGGGACCCUGACCAAUAAACCUCUGGGGUCUCACAGCCCUAGGGAGCAGUUGUGGUCCCCACACUUCCUAGGGAGGAGCCCCGUGGGGACGGCCAUGGAAGGAGCCCUCAGUCCCCGCAGACAGGACUUCCCUCAUCUCAGCACAGACCUUGGGAAAGGCAGCCCUCGGAUCUGCGUGGAAAAUGGGGUUUGCGUGCAGGAAGUAUUUGAAGGAAGUGGUCCCAGGGAACAAGGGCGGGGUGGGGGGCAUGAAGCCGGGCGAGGGGAAAAGCCAGCCAGAGGAGGUGCUGUGGACCCACCGUCAGUGGGGUGCAGACUCCACCGAGGCCAUCUGAGAAACCUCGAGGGACGUGCUGAGAACCGUCCGCCCCAGGGACAAAAGGGGACAUAGCCAUAGGCUCCCCUUCCACCGCAUGGACAAGGUGAGGCUUAUCCACCAGCCUUCGAACUUUAGGGUUCAUGUACACAAGUGCCCAGCAGGCCCUGCGGGCAUCCUCGCGCUGGGUCAGAGCAGCUCUGGGCAAGGGCGAGCUGGGCCACCAGCCGGCAUCUGCACAGGUGGGCCGGUCACCACAGAGCCGUGGCUGGCCUGAGCUCGGCCGGGAGGACUUGAGGUGGGCCGCCGAGGUGCCCAGGACAGUUAAAAAUAGCGUGUAUUCAGGGGAAAUGUGAGGUUCAGUGAGGCCACAGAGCAGGAGAUGACUGCCGUUGGAAAGGUCAUUUCUAAGCACAGUCCCAGAGGAGGGGGACGCCACGCCACGCCACGCCGAGCCACGUGGGAAAGCACGGGGAGGUUAGGAAGUGGGGGGAGCCUAGAACCGGGGACAGGAGACUUUGCUGCGGUCUCUGCAGGAGGGAUGGGCGAGGCAGGGCGAGCAGGCUGACCACUGGCUGGUUUGAGUAAUUUCAUGGGCCCUGGGACAGACGGGCUGCCGCAACUUGCCUGGUACCUGACCCCGGGUGACUCAGGCAGGGGGACGGUGGCCCAAGGGGGAGAACCCGAUAGAGGAGGUGUUGGGGCUGUGCCUUCUAGAUUGGUUGCUUUGCAUUUGAAAGUCACCCUCUUGGACCGGUGGGUGGGUUACACUCUGCGGGAAUCGGCCAGUCCUGGGAGGGGCAGUCCCUCCAGGGUCAGAGCAUCAAACCCAAGACACGGUUCCUGCAGUCCACCCCUCACCCACCUCAGCUCCGCUCGUGGCCUCGGUGGCCCAGGGUGGCCCAGGGUCCGGUUCAGGGUGGGAGCCGGCCCGGAGCCCCGACAGGCCUUAACUAGCCCCUCCUGCUGCACCUGGUCCCGAAGCUGAACCCUUUCUGGGUUCGCCUCACCUUCGGCCAGCACUUGGGUGGCUCUAGGUUCGCCUGGUGGGGUGACCGGGGCGUCUCCGGGGCUCUGAGACCUUAGUCACCUUGCCCCUGUCAACAACUGCCCCGUGGUCACUGUCACCGUGGUCACUGUUCGAGGGACAAGAAGCAGCCCCAGAGAAUUUCGAGUCCCGGAGACCCUCGUCCCCGGCCCUCCUCUCACACAGGUCCGAGCUGCCCCCCCCACCGGCGUGGUGGGACUGCAGGUUCACGGGAGAGCUGCUGCGUCCCUGGCCCCCCCCGAACAAGGACCUCAGACCUGGCCAAGCCUCCAGUGUGGGGCAGGGCCAGGAGUUCUGCAAGAGGGUGACGUCGGGACGGACGGGCCUCCUUCCUCCGCCCGCGGGCUGUGCUCCGGUGACGGGGCCAGCACCGCGUCCACGGGACUGGACCCCAGCCCUCAGGAUGUCCCAGGACGGCGCCAGGGCUAGGCUGUUCCUCUUUAGAUCAGCUGCUUCUGAGUGACGUGAACUCGAGUGCGGCCAGUGGGCCUGUGGCUCUGUUCCCGUUGUCACCUCCUUGUGGUCAAACGGUCCCUGGUCUGAGGCAGCAUCGUGCAGGACACGAGGGUCCAGC